rnacentral:rRNA from 1 species
UACGAGGGGUGCAAGCGUUGCUCGGAAUUAUUGGGCGUAAAGGGUAGGUAGGUGGUCUCAUUUGUCUGGGGUGAAAGCCUUGAGCUUAACUCAAGAAGUGCCCCGGAAACGGUGAGACUGGAGUCCUGGAGAGGGUCGUGGAAUUCCCGGUGUAGCGGUGAAAUGCGUAGAGAUCGGGAGGAACAUCAGUGGCGAAGGCGGCCAUCUGGGACAACACUGACGCUGAAGCACUAAAGCGUGGGGAGCAAACAGG